GAUGAACGCUGGCGGCGUGCCUAAUACAUGCCAGUCGAGCGAACGGACGAGAAGCUUGCUUUUCUGAUGUUAGCGGCGGACGGGUGAGUAACACGUGGAUAACCUACCUAUAAGACUGGGAUAACUUCGGGAAACCGGAGCUAAUACCGGAUAAUAUUUUGAACCGCAUGGUUCAAAAGUGAAAGACGGUCUUGCUGUCACUUAUAGAUGGAUCCGCGCUGCAUUAGCUAGUUGGUAAGGUAACGGCUUACCAAGGUAACGAUGCAUAGCCGACCUGAGAGGGUGAUCGGCCACACUGGAACUGAGACACGGUCCAGACUCCUACGGGAGGCAGCAGUAGGGAAUCUUCCGCAAUGGGCGAAAGCCUGACGGAGCAACGCCGCGUGAGUGAUGAAGGUCUUCGGAUCGUAAAACUCUGUUAUUAGGGAAGAACAUAUGUGUAAGUAACUGUGCACAUCUUGACGGUACCUAAUCAGAAAGCCACGGCUAACUACGUG
rnacentral:rRNA from 1 species